rnacentral:rRNA from 1 species
GCGAAGGGCGAUAAGUAAUGUGAAUUGCAGAAUUCAGUGAAUCAUCGAAUCUUUGAACGCACCUUGCGCUCCUUGGUAUUCCGAGGAGCAUGCCUGUUUGAGUGUCAUGGUAUUCUCAAUUCCCUUGGUUUCUGCCAAGGUGAUAUUGGACUUGGAGGCUAUUGCUGGCAUCAUCUCUGAAGCCGGCUCCUCUUAAAUGAAUCAGUGUGAACAUUCACUUCAUACUUGGUGUGAUAAUUAUCUACACUAUGUUUGAGUGAUACAGCUUCAUGCUUCGAAUCGUCGCAAGACACCGCUUUGACUUCUGACCUCAAAUCAGGUAGGAUUACCCGCUGAACUUAA